UAAACUAGGAUUAGAUACCCUAUUAUUUUUAAGUGUUAAUUUCCUAGGUAGUAUUAGCUAUGUUCUUGAAACCUAAAGAAUUUGGCGGUACUUUAUUCCGAUUAGAGGAAUCUGCCCUGUUAUCGAUAAUCCGCGUUGUACCUUACUUAGUUUGUAUACCGCCGUAUAUUGAUUAUCAUUUUAGUGUUUGAAAUUUUCUUGAUUCAUAAUUUUGCUUUAUUUCAGGUCAAGGUGCAGCUUUUAUCUAAGUGUGAGGUGGAUUACAUUGGUUUUUUGUUUAUUGGAUUAUUUGUUGUUAAAUUUGUAUGAAAUUGGAUUUGAUUGUAAUGUUUGGAUGAAGAUUGUUCUCAUGAUAAUUGGUUCUAAGGUAUGUACACAUCGCCCGUCGCUCUCAUAUUAAUGAGAUAAGUCGUAACAUAGUA
rnacentral:rRNA from 1 species